rnacentral:tRNA from 1 species
GGGCGGUUGGUUAGAGCAUUCCUCUGAUAAGGGAAAGGUCCUUGGUUCGAAUCCAAGAUCGCCCA